rnacentral:rRNA from 1 species
CCUACGGGGCGCAGCAGUAGGGAAUCUUCCACAAUGGACGAAAGUCUGAUGGAGCAACGCCGCGUGAGUGAAGAAGGGUUUCGGCUCGUAAAGCUCUGUUGGUAGUGAGGAAAGAUAGAGGUAGUAACUGGCCUUUAUUUGACGGUAAUUACUUAGAAAGUCACGGCUAACUACGUGCCAGCAGCCGCGGUAAUACGUAGGUGGCAAGCGUUGUCCGGAUUUAUUGGGUGUAAAGCGAGUGCAGGCGGCUCCAUAAGGCUGAUGUGAAAACCUUCGGCUCAACCCGAGAAUUGCAU